rnacentral:rRNA from 1 species
UACGUAGGGGGCUAGCGUUGUUCGGAAUCACUGGGCGUAAAGGGCGCGUAGGCGGCCUGUUAAGUCGAACGUGAAAUCCCUGGGCUCAACCCAGGAACUGCGUCCGAUACUGGCAGGCUUGAAUCCGGGAGAGGGAUGUGGAAUUCCAGGUGUAGCGGUGAAAUGCGUAGAUAUCUGGAGGAACACCGGUGGCGAAGGCGGCAUCCUGGACCGGUAUUGACGCUGAGGCGCGAAAGCCAGGGGAGCAAACGGG